UCUACCUAGUAGUAUGGAAUAAUUGUUGGAAACGGCAACUAAUACCGUAUACGCCCUACGGGGGAAAAAUUUAUUGCUAUUGGAUGAGCCUAUAUUAGAUUAGCUAGUUGGUGGAGUAAUAGCCUACCAAGGCAAUGAUCUAUAGCUGAUCUGAGAGGAUGAUCAGCCACACUGGAACUGAGAUACGGUCCAGACUCCUACGGGAGGCAGCAGUGGGGAAUAUUGGACAAUGGGCGAAAGCCUGAUCCAGCCAUGCCGCAUGAGUGAAGAAGGCCUUUGGGUUGUAAAGCUCUUUUAGUGAGGAAGAUAAUGACGGUACUCACAGAAGAAGUCCUGGCUAACUCCGUGCCAGCAGCCGCGGUAAUACGGAGAGGGCUAGCGUUAUUCGGAAUUAUUGGGCGUAAAGGGCGCGUAGGCUGGUUAAUAAGUUAAAAGUGAAAUCCCGAGGCUUAACCUUGGAAUUGCUUUUAAAACUAUUAAUCUAGAGAUUGAAAGAGGAUAGAGGAAUUCCUGAUGUAGAGGUAAAAUUCGUAAAUAUUAGGAGGAACACCAGUGGCGAAGGCGUCUAUCUGGUUCAAAUCUGACGCUGAAGCGCGAAGGCGUGGGGAGCAAACAGGAUUAGAUACCCUGGUAGUCCACGCUGUAAACGAUGAAUGUUAAAUAUGGGAAGUUUACUUUCUGUAUUACAGCUAACGCGUUAAACAUUCCGCCUGGGGACUACGGUCGCAAGAUUAAAACUCAAAGGAAUUGACGGGGACCCGCACAAGCGGUGGAGCAUGUGGUUUAAUUCGAUGCAACGCGAAAAACCUUACCACUUCU
rnacentral:rRNA from 1 species